GAGAAAGUAAUAUUACGGUAAUGUUGUUGGCUUGAAACCAGCGUUAGGGGGUUCAAUUCCUUCCUUUCUCG
rnacentral:tRNA from 1 species